rnacentral:rRNA from 1 species
UCCGUGCCAGCAGCCGCGGUAAUACGGAGGGGGUUAGCGUUGUUCGGAAUUACUGGGCGUAACGCGCACGUAGGCGGAUCUUAAAGUCUGGGGUGAAAUCGCGGGGCUCAACCCCGGAACUGCCUUGGAAACUCCGGGUCUUGAGUUCGAGAGAGGUGAGUGGAAUUCCGAGUGUACAGGUGAAAUUCGUAGAUAUUCGGAGGAACACCAGUGGCGAAGGCGCCUCACUGGCUCGAUACUGACCCUAGGUGCGAAAGUGUGGGGAGCAAACAGGAUUAGAUACCCUGGUAGUCCACACCGUAAAACGAUGAAGGGCAGACGUCGGGAAGCAUGCUUGUCGGUGACACACCCUAACGGAUUAAGCAUUCCCCCCCGGGG